AUUGAACGCUGGCGGCAGGCCUAACACAUGCAAGUCGAGCGGGGGUAGCAAUACCCUAGCGGCGAACGGGUGAGGAAUGCUUGGGAAUCUGCCUGGUAGUGGGGGAUAACGUUCCGAAAGGAACGCUAAUACCGCAUACGUCCUACGGGAGAAAGGGGGGGAUCUUCGGACCUCUCGCUAUCAGAUGAGCCCAAGCGGGAUUAGCUAGUUGGUGAGGUAAAGGCUCACCAAGGCGACGAUCCCUAGCUGGUCUGAGAGGAUGAUCAGCCACACUGGAACUGAGACACGGUCCAGACUCCUACGGGAGGCAGCAGUGGGGAAUAUUGGACAAUGGGGGAAACCCUGAUCCAGCCAUGCCGCGUGUGUGAAGAAGGCCUCGGUU
rnacentral:rRNA from 1 species